CGGGAACUUUGGCGAAGGAGUCUUCUGUGAGAGUCUCGAAGGCGAAAUCAAUAUGGCGGCACCGAACCAGACAGAAGAAGUUUUCCUACUCCAUCGGUGAACUGAAGAGGUGACCUUCAUAACCAGAGGCAUAUGCAGCUGAAGCUGCAGCAAGGCCGCGCAGGAUGCGGCGGGCUGACAACGUCAGUAGCAGCACAGUGCUAUGAAAUAUUGAUGGAGCAGUCAAAGGCACGCUUUGAGAAAGCACAGCACUUGGUGUCAUUUGACUUCAAUGACAGGGUGAUUAACAUGUUUGCAUCCCAGAAAACUCAACGAUGUGAUCUUCUCUUCAAAUAAGAGUUUCUACAUCUAUCCUCCCCUCCAGAUAGGUCAGACUGUCCUUGAGGUUUCCACAGAGGCACAACAGAAGAUGGCAAAGCAAAGAUGACCAGAUGAUCAUGCUUUUGGAAGGCUCCGCUGGGCCUAAUGCUUUAAGGUUUCCAAAGCACUAAGACCUUUA